rnacentral:rRNA from 1 species
UACAGAGGUCUCAAGCGUUGUUCGGAUUCAUUGGGCGUAAAGGGCGCGUAGGCGGCCAGCACAAGUCAGUUGUGAAAUCUCCGAGCUUAACUCGGAAAGGUCAACUGAUACUGUGCGGCUAGAGUGCAGAAGGGGCAACUGGAAUUCUUGGUGUAGCGGUGAAAUGCGCAGAUAUCAGGAGGAACACCGGUGGCGAAGGCGGGUCUCUGGGCCGUAACUGACGCUGAGGAGCGAAAGCGUGGGGGAGCGAACAGG